GACGAACGCUGGCGGCGUGCCUAAUACAUGCAAGUAGAACGCACAGUUUAUACCGUAGCUUGCUACACCAUAGACUGUGAGUUGCGAACGGGUGAGUAACGCGUAGGUAACCUGCCUGGUAGCGGGGGAUAACUAUUGGAAACGAUAGCUAAUACCGCAUAAUAUUAAUUAUUGCAUGAUAAUUAAUUGAAAGGUGCAAUUGCACCACUACCAGAUGGACCUGCGUUGUAUUAGCUAGUAGGUGAGGUAACGGCUCACCUAGGCGACGAUACAUAGCCGACCUGGGAGGGGGAUCGGCCACACUGGGACUGAGACACGGCCCAGACCUCUACGGGAGGCAGCAGUAGGGAAUCUUCGGCAAUGGACGAAAGUCUGACCGAGCAACGCCGCGUGAGUGAAGAAGGGUUUCGGAUCGUAAAGCUCUGUUGUAAGAGAAGAACGGGUGUGAGAGUGGAAAGUUCACACUGUGACGGUAUCUUACCAGAAAGGGACGGCUAACUACGUG
rnacentral:rRNA from 1 species